UAGGGAAUCUUCGGCAAUGGACGAAAGUCUGACCGAGCAACGCCGCGUGAGUGAAGAAGGUUUUCGGAUCGUAAAACUCUGUUGUUAGAGAAGAACAAGGACGUUAUUAACUGAACGUCCCCUGACGGUAUCUAACCAGAAAGCCACGGCUAACUACGUGCCAGCAGCCGCGGUAAUACGUAGGUGGCAAGCGUUGUCCGGAUUUAUUGGGCGUAAAGCGAGCGCAGGCGGUUUCUUAAGUCUGAUGUGAAAGCCCCCGGCUCAACCGGGGAGGGUCAUUGGAAACUGGGAUACUUGAGUGCAGAAGAGGAGAGUGGAAUUCCAUGUGUAGCGGUGAAAUUCGUAGAUAUAUGGAGGAACACCAGUGGCGAAGGCGGCUCUCUGGUCUGUAACUGACGCUGAGGCUCGAAAGCGUGGGGAGCAAACAGG
rnacentral:rRNA from 1 species